UGCCCCAGUAACGGCGAGUGAAGCGGCAACAGCUCAAAUUUGAAAUCUGGCUCUCGGGCCCGAGUUGUAAUUUGUAGAGGAUGCUUUUGGUGAGGUGCCUUCCGAGUUCCCUGGAACGGGACGCCAUAGAGGGUGAGAGCCCCGUCUGGUUGGACGCCGAACCUCUGUAAAGCUCCUUCGACGAGUCGAGUAGUUUGGGAAUGCUGCUCUAAAUGGGAGGUAUAUGUCUUCUAAAGCUAAAUACCGGCCAGAGACCGAUAGCGCACAAGUAGAGUGAUCGAAAGAUGAAAAGAACUUUGAAAAGAGAGUUAAACAGUACGUGAAAUUGUUGAAAGGGAAGCGCUUGUGACCAGACUUGGGCUUGGUUGAUCAUCCGGGGUUCUCCCCGGUGCACUCUUCCGGCCCAGGCCAGCAUCAGUUCGCCCUGGGGGACAAAGGCUUCGGGAACGUGGCUCUCUCCGGGGAGUGUUAUAGCCCGUUGCGUAAUACCCUGUGGCGGACUGAGGUUCGCGCAUUCGCAAGGAUGCUGGCGUAAUGGUCAUCAGUGACCCGUCUUGAAACACGGACCAAGGAGUCGUCUUCGUAUGCGAGUGUUCGGGUGUCAAACCCCUACGCGAAAUGAAAGUGAACGCAGGUGAGAGCUUCGGCGCAUCAUCGACCGAUCCUGAUGUUAUCGGAUGGAUUUGAGUAAGAGCAUACGGGGCCGGACCCGAAAGAAGGUGAACUAUGCCUGUGUAGGGUGAAGCCAGAGGAAACUCUGGUGGAGGCUCGCAGCGGUUCUGACGUGCAAAUCGAUCGUCAAACAUGGGCAUG
rnacentral:rRNA from 1 species